rnacentral:lncRNA from 1 species
GGGUCUUUAUCUUUUCAUUAAACUAAGUAAUCUUAACAGAAUGCAAUUUCAAUCACAUAUAUAAAGAAGAAAAUGAUAAUUUAACUAAUUUUUAACAGAUUUACAUGAUGAUAACACUAAUAUAACAUUCAUCUUGAAACAAAAUCAGAUCUAACAUGUUCCAUCAACCAAACCGGGAUCAAAUCCUUCUUAUUAUCAUCAAGAAUCUGCAAUAUAAGAAUUUGAAAGUUACCUGGUUUGUAAAAUAAUAAAAUACAGCAGUGCAGUAACAAAAUAUUCAGCAGCAAAUAUAGUAAAAAUAGCAGCAACUCAAGUGUUAAGACAACCCAAAAAACUCAACAAAGAUGCUUGAAAUUGGUAUCUAUCAACUUCACAAAUUGCCUAAGGGAUUUUUCUAUUUUUCUCAAAGUUUUUGCACUCAAAUAAUCAUCACAAAACUCUGAAAUUUCAGCUUGUUAUAUGUAUUAAGCUGCUGAUUUUUCUCAAAGAUAUAUGUCUUUAAGCAAGUCUCCAAGAUGUGUCUCAGUGUAAGAUAGAGUGUGUGUCCUCUUCAGUGAGUAAGGAUAGCCCUUUAAAUAGGUAAAUAAAUCAGAUUUUUCGGACAGAUUUUGGUUCACCAAAAGUCUGUCCAAAAGACUAACUUUGUGUGCUAAACACUGUUCAAAAGCUGUCAAAAAGUAUUGUAUUUGUCACCACAUAAUGACUUUUGAGUUUUGCACUCCAAAAUCUUUGCACAGUAAAAACAACCAAACUUGUACUAUUCCUUCUUUAAUUACAGCUUUUAUCAACACAAAAUUCAAAUACUUAAAUCCAAUAAAAUAAAUUCACUAAGCACUUGAAACUUUUAUUAUAAACUAUCAUGACUAAGCGAAUAGCUAUUUCAAAACUAAUGAAUAACUAAUUAUCAGUGAUUAAUAAGUAUGAACGACUAAGCUAACAUAGAUUAAACACAACUAAUAAUAAAAAUAUAAAUAAUAUAAAUAAUAAUAAUAAAAAUAAAUAAAUAAAUAAAUCAUAAAUUAUGCUAGACAUAAACUAAAUACAAUACAAUUAGAAAAAAUAGACAAAGAAAAUGAGAAUAGGGGUAUACCAAACGAAGGCGUUCGGGGUGGUCGCCGGAAUUUGGCUGGAUUUUUAGUUGCUGAAUUUUCGGGAGAAAUUGAUAUCAAUAAGUAGGUCUUGUUGAGCUCUAUCCGUUGAUGUAGGUAUUGUGGGGCGGUAGUGGCCGGAACUUCAAGAUUUUGGGCAAAAAAGUUGAGGCUAAAGUUUCCUAGAUCUAAAAUUCAAGGAGUUUGAGGGGUUUUUGAAAGAUUUGGUUUGGAGAUAUAGAAAGAGAAGGUUGUGGAGAUUACAUGGUGUGAAUUUGGGGGUGUUUGGAGGUUGUUCGCCGCUGGUGGGCGAUUUCCGACGGCGGUGGCGGCGGCGGAGAGAAGAGAGAAAGAGUUACGAGGAAAAUGAGAGAAC